rnacentral:lncRNA from 1 species
CCUCCCAGAGAGGGUGUGCUGUGGUCUUUGAAGGCCCAGAGGACCAUCAUUUGGACCCCCACCCCGCCCCGGGGCCGAGGACCAGCGCAGCGAGAGGGAUCUCUCGGGGGAGAGAGAGGAUGGCAAGCCGGUAAUGCCUUGGGAGGCUCUGGCAGGGCGAGGCCGCGAGGAUCACGCCGCCUCUCCCCCCACCUACCGACCCCGGGGCCGGGAGCUCCUCCCAGCCACUCUGGAGGGGGUGGGGGAUCCGAGAGGCCCCCCAGCGAGUCCCCCGGGGAGGCGGGCGGAGGUGCAGCGCCCGGAACAAAGACCCACAGAGGGGUCCUGGAGCGCGCGGCUCCCCCGGGGCGGGGGCGGGCCACCUCCCUCCCUCCCUCCUCCCCUCCCUCCCCCCUCAGCUCCUCCCUCUCCUUCCCUCCUUCCACCCAGAGGCCCGGCCGGCGCGCAGCCCAAGCUGCCCCAACUUCGCCAACGGUUCCCAAGUUGCCGGGCGCGCUGGGCUGGGAGCUGGGUGGGGUGAAGAAGGAGAGGAGGAGGAGGAAGGCUCCCCGGGCGCCUUGGACGCGAUUCAGGAAUCCGCCGCCGCCGCCGGCCGCUCGCCGGCUCGGGCCCGAGCGGGGAGGGCGCCAGGCAGGACCGCUCGCUCGCUCGCUCGCUCGCUGCGCAGGACGGCGCCCGCCUGGCGCCGCUUCCCGCUCGGCGUGCGAACCGGCCGGGCCGGGCCGCGCCUCCCUCCCUCCUCCCCGCCGCCGCCGACGCCGACGCCGCCGCCGCCGCCGCCGCCUCCGGGGAGGGCGCAGAGCCCGGGCCGCAAGGGAUCGGAGCCGCCGAGCCGCCUCUGCCGCGUUCUGCGCAGACGGCAAAGUUGCGAGCGGAUGCUGCAGGCGCCGGACCCCAGCCGCGGACAGUCGGAUCCGCCCCCGCCGGAGGAGGCUCGGCGGCCGGGACUCAGCGUUGAAUCUCACCCUUCCAGAGAGACAGAUGGCCUCACACCCCACAGGGUGUGUGGAGCAUGGCUCUGCCCAUCAUUCUGCAAACUCAUGCUGACAGCCUCUGAGGCUCCAGGCACUGAGCCAGGCACCAGCUUUGACAGGUUUGCUCACUCGUGUUUUGUUGGGCAGCUGUUAUAUGCUGGGCGCCAUUCUAGACGCUAGUCCCUACUUCAGGGGGCUCACGGUCUGGGAAGGGAAGACAGACCAUCAGCUGGAAAGCCCAACCAUAUAUGCUACAGUGAGGGUGACUGGGGAGCACUGAGAGGCUCGAAUGACCUAGAUCUUGGAGGGAUGAUAAGGGCUGCUGCUGGGGGAAACUUGGACAAGUUAUUUAACCCCUCAACCUCAGUUUCCUGGUCUGUAAAAUGGGAGAGCUGCCACCUAAUGGGACUUCUGUAAGGAUCGGAUUGAGGAAAUGCAAAUCAAGUGCUUAGCAUGGCACCUGGCACAGAGUAGUAAGCACUCAAUAAAUCUCAGCUACCAGAUCAUUCCAGGUGGCCCUUCCAACCCGAGUGUCAGCUCCACGACGGCAUGGAUCAGCUGUGCUUGCUCACUACUGUGUCCCCAGUGCCUAGACCAGACGCUGGCACCGAGUGAGUUCUCAGGAAAUAGCUGUUUCAUGAGUAUGUGGAGAAAGGCCCAGAAGAAUUAGGAAGGGGCAGGAAUAUUCCACUUGCCCUGGAGCUGGCCCUGCAGGCCUCCUCCCUAGGAUCUAAUAUAUAUAUUUAGGUUAUUCACAUCAACACUUAUAGAUCCAUCUCCAUCAUUUUUUGUUUAGGUAUUUGUAGUCUUUUGCUAUUGCAAACAUUUAUAGUGCAAGGAACAUUCUUUUCCAUGUACUUGCCCUUGAGUUACAUGUGAGGUCAAAGGAUAAGUUGAUGGAAGUGGGAUGAAUGAAUCCAAGGGCUGAUUAGCAUUUUAAAUGACCUGAUUUCACCUCAUCCGUUGGGAGAGUGGAUCUGGAAUCUGGCUGCUAAGCAGGGCCACAACCCUCAAAAGUUGGGUGGGAAAACUCUUCAUUCCUCACCUCCAGACAAGGGUGUCCUGAC